rnacentral:rRNA from 1 species
CCUACGGGAGGCUGCAGUGGGGAAUAUUGGACAAUGGGGGGAACCCUGAUCCAGCCAUGCCGCGUGUGUGAAGAAGGCCCUCGGGUUGUAAAGCACUUUCAGUGAGGAAGAACGCCUGGUGGUUAAUACCCAUCAGGAAAGACAUCUCUCACAGAAGAAGCACCGGCUAACUCCGUGCCAGCAGCCGCGGUAAUACGGAGGGUGCGAGCGUUAAUCGGAAUUACUGGGCGUAAAGCGCGCGUAGGUGGCUUGAUAAGCCGGUUGUGAAAGCCCCGGGCUCAACCUGGGAACGGCAUCCGGAACUGUCAAGCUAGAGUGCAGGAGAGGAAGGUAGAAUUCCCGGUGUAGCGGUGAAAUGCGUAGAGAUCGGGAGGAAUACCAGUGGCGAAGGCGGCCUUCUGGACUGACACUGACACUGAGGUGCGAAAGCGUGGGUAGCAAACAGGAUUAGAUACCCCAGUAGUC